rnacentral:rRNA from 1 species
AUUGAACGCUGGCGGUAUGCUUUACACAUGCAAGUCGAACGGUAACAGGGUGCUUGCACCGCUGACGAGUGGCGAACGGGUGAGUAAUGCGUCGGAACGCACCGAGUAAUGGGGGAUAACGCAGCGAAAGCUGUGCUAAUACCGCAUACGCUCUGAGGAGGAAAGCGGGGGACCUUCGGGCCUCGCGUUAUUCGAGCGGCCGACGUCUGAUUAGCUAGUAGGUGAGGUAAGAGCUAACCUAGGCGACGAUCAGUAGCGGGUCUGGGAGGAUGACCCGCCACACUGGGACGUAGACACGGCCCAGACUCCUACGGGAGGCAGCAGUGGGGAAUGGUGGACAAUGGGCGCAAGCCUGAUCCAGCCAUGCCGCGUGUCUGAAGAAGGCCUUCGGGUUGUAAAGGACUUUUGUCAGGGAGGAAAUCCUUAGCGCUAAUACCGUUGAGGGAUGACAGUACCUGAAGAAUAAGCACCGGCUAACUACGUGCCAGCAGCCGCAGUAA